rnacentral:rRNA from 1 species
AUUGAACGCUGGCGGCAGGCUUAACACAUGCAAGUCGAGCGGGGAAAAGUAGCUUGCUACUGGACCUAGCGGCGGACGGGUGAGUAAUGCUUAGGAAUCUGCCUAUUAGUGGGGGACAACAUCUCGAAAGGGAUGCUAAUACCGCAUACGUCCUACGGGAGAAAGCAGGGGACCUUCGGGCCUUGCGCUAAUAGAUGAGCCUAAGUCGGAUUAGCUAGUUGGUGGGGUAAAGGCCUACCAAGGCGACGAUCUGUAGCGGGUCUGAGAGGAUGAGCCGCCAAACUGGGACUGAGAGACGGCCCAGACUCCUACGGGAGGCAGCAGUGGGGAAUAUUGGACAAUGGGGGGAACCCUGAUCCAGCCAUGCCGCGUGUGUGAAGAAGGCCUUUUGGUUGUAAAGCACUUUAAGCGAGGAGGAGGCUACCGAGAUUAAUACUCUUGGAUAGUGGACGUUACUCGCAGAAUAAGCACCGGCUAACUCUGUGCCAGCCGCCGCAGUAAAAC